rnacentral:rRNA from 1 species
GACAGAGGUGCCGAGCGUUAGGCGGAAUCACUGGGCUUAAAGCGUGUGUAGGCGGACCGUUAAGUACCUUGUGAAAUCCUGCGGCUCAACCGCAGAACGGCUGGGUAUACUGGCGGUCUUGGGCCACCUAGGGGCAGAUGGAACAGACGGUGGAGCGGUGAAAUGCGUAGAUAUCGUCUGGAACGCCGAUGGUGAAAACAGUCUGCUGGGGGUGUGCCGACGCUGAGACGCGAAAGCCAGGGGAGCAAACGGG